AAAAAAACAGGCGUGACUGACUUCAGGUAAGCUGUAGGAGGAUAGAAACGCGAGCCGCCACAUCACAGGGCAAAAACAUCAGACAUGUUUCAAUACAGUGAGACUGUGGAUUGUUGUCCGGCGACGACGUCUGCAUUUCCGAGUGGAAACUCUGAAGAGUACUGAUCGUCAGCUGGCUCCAAGACGCCGCCGCAGAAGGCCUGUGAAAAGCGGCUUGUGCGUCUGCCUUUCCUGAAGUGUGUGUGAAGGUGGACUAAAAUUUAAUUACAGCCUCAGAAAUGCGUUUGGCAUACGUUUCAAGGUGCAACACAAGCCCAGAAAUGGCAAACAGGACUGGCAGAGACACACAGCGGCGGCUGGAGCUGCUCAGUAAUCCGCAGAGAGAGAAAGAGAGAAAGAGAGAGAGAGAGAAACCAAAUUACUGUAACGCAUGCUCUCUCGGCCUGCAUCUGUUUGUUCUGACAUAUUUACAAAAAGAG